rnacentral:rRNA from 1 species
UACAUGGGGUGCAAACGUUGCUCGGAAUUAUUGGGCGUAAAGCGCACGUAGGCGGUUUGUUAAGUCGGAUGUGAAAUCCCUCGGCUCAACUGAGGAAGUGCAUCCGAAACUGGCAGGCUUGAGUACUAAAGAGGGUCGCGGAAUUCCCGGUGUAGAGGUGAAAUUCGUAGAUAUCGGGAGGAACACCGGUGGCGAAGGCGGCGACCUGGGUAGAUACUGACGCUGAGGUGCGAAAGCGUGGGGAAGCGAACAGG